GAUGAACGCUGGCGGCGUGCCUAAUACAUGCAAGUCGAGCGAACGGACGAGAAGCUUGCUUUUCUGAUGUUAGCGGCGGACGGGUGAGUAACACGUGGAUAACCUACCUAUAAGACUGGGAUAACUUCGGGAAACCGGAGCUAAUACCGGAUAAUAUUUUGAACCGCAUGGUUCAAAAGUGAAAGACGGUCUUGCUGUCACUUAUAGAUGGAUCCGCGCUGCAUUAGCUAGUUGGUAAGGUAACGGCUUACCAAGGCAACGAUGCAUAGCCGACCUGAGAGGGUGAUCGGCCACACUGGAACUGAGACACAGUCCAGACUCCUACGGGAGGCAGCAGUAGGGAAUCUUCCGCAAUGGGCGAUAGCCUGACGGAGCAACGCCGCGUGAGUGAUGAAGGUCUUCGGAUCGUAAAACUCUGUUAUUAGGGAAGAACAUAUGUGUAAGUAACUGUGCACAUCUUGACGGUACCUAAUCAGAAAGCCACGGCUAACUACGUG
rnacentral:rRNA from 1 species